rnacentral:rRNA from 1 species
GAUGAACGCUAGCGGCAGGCUUAACACAUGCAAGUCGAGGGGCAUCGAGAGUAGCAAUACUUGUCGGCGACCGGCGCAAGGGUGCGUAACACGUGAGCAACAUACCCGUUUCAGGAGGAUAACCGGAGGAAACUCUGCCUAAUACUCCAUGACAUCAUCAAACGGCAUCGUUUGAUGAUUAAAGAUUUAUCGGAAACGGCUUGGCUCGCGGGACAUUAGCUUGUUGGUGAGGUAACGGCUCACCAAGGCUACGAUGUCUAGGGGUUCUGAGAGGAAGGUCCCCCACACUGGAACUGAGACACGGUCCAGACUCCUACGGGAGGCAGCAGUGAGGAAUAUUGGACAAUGGUCGGAAGACUGAUCCAGCCAUGCCGCGUGAAGGUUACUGUCCUAUGGAUAUUAAACUUCUUUUGUAUGAGAGCAAUAAGGUGCACGCGUGCACCGAUGAGAGUAUCAUACGAAUAAGCAUCGGCUAA